UAACGGCGAGUGAAGCGGCAACAGCUCAAAUUUGAAAUCUGGCCCUCUCCGGGGUCCGAGUUGUAAUUUGUAGAGGGUGCUUUGGUGUUGGCUGUGGUCCAAGUUCCCUGGAACAGGACGUCGCAGAGGGUGAGAACCCCGUACGUGGCCGCCAGUCUUCGCCGUGUAAAGCCCCUUCGAAGAGUCGAGUUGUUUGGGAAUGCAGCUCUAAAUGGGAGGUAAAUUCCUUCUAAAGCUAAAUAUUGGCCAGAGACCGAUAGCGCACAAGUAGAGUGAUCGAAAGAUGAAAAGCACUUUGGAAAGAGAGUGAAACAGCACGUGAAAUUGUUGAAAGGGAAGCGCUUGGAGCCAGACGUGCCCGUAGUUGCUCAGCCGGGGUUCUCCCCGGUGCACUCUUCUGCGGGCAGGCCAGCAUCAGUCUGGGCGGUUGGAUAAAGACCUGCUAAACGUACCUCCCCCCGGGGAGGACUUAUAGGGUAGGCGGCAUACAACCAGCCCGGACUGAGGACCGCGCAUCUGCUAGGAUGCUGGCGUAAUGGCUGUAAGCGGCCCGUCUUGAAACACGGACCAAGGAGUCUAAAAUCUAUGCGAGUGUUUGGGUGUCAAGCCCGAGCGCGCAAUGAAAGUGAACGUAGGUGGGAUCCCCUCGGGGUGCACCAUCGACCGAUCCUGAUGUUUUCGGAAGGAUUUGAGUAUGAGCAUAGCUUUUGGGACCCGAAAGAUGGUGAACUAUGCCUGAAUAGGGUGAAGCCAGAGGAAACUCUGGUGGAGGCUCGCAGCGGUUCUGACGUGC
rnacentral:rRNA from 1 species